AGUGAACGCUGGCGGUAGGCCUAACACAUGCAAGUCGAACGGCAGCACAGUAAGAGCUUGCUCUUACGGGUGGCGAGUGGCGGACGGGUGAGGAAUACAUCGGACUCUACUUUUUCGUGGGGGAUAACGUAGGGAAACUUACGCUAAUACCGCAUACGACCUACGGGUGAAAGCAGGGGAUCUUCGGACCUUGCGCGAUUGAAUGAGCCGAUGUCGGAUUAGCUAGUUGGCGGGGUAAAGGCCCACCAAGGCGACGAUCCGUAGCUGGUCUGAGAGGAUGAUCAGCCACACUGGAACUGAGACACGGUCCAGACUCCUACGGGAGGCAGCAGUGGGGAAUAUUGGACAAUGGGCGCAAGCCUGAUCCAGCCAUACCGCGUGGGUGAAGAAGGCCUUCGGGUUGUAAAGCCCUUUUGUUGGGAAAGAAAAGCAGCAGGUUAAUACCCCGCUGUUCUGACGGUACCCAAAGAAUGAGCACCGGCUAACUUCGUG
rnacentral:rRNA from 1 species